rnacentral:rRNA from 1 species
GGAUGGGCAUGCGGCGCAUUAGGCAGUUGGCGGGGUAACGGCCCACCAAACCGACGAUGCGUAGGGGUUCUGAGAGGAAGGUCCCCCACACUGGUACUGAGACACGGACCAGACUCCUACGGGAGGCAGCAGUGAGGAAUAUUGGUCAAUGGGCGCAAGCCUGAACCAGCCAAGUCGCGUGAGGGAAGACGGUCCUAUGGAUUGUAAACCUCUUUUGUCAGGGAGCAAGCGCGGGACGCGUCCCGUAGCUGAGAGUACCUGAAGAAAAAGCAUCGGCUAACUCCGUGCCAGCAGCCGCGGUAAUACGGAGGAUGCGAGCGUUAUCCGGAUUUAUUGGGUUUAAAGGGUGCGUAGGCGGACCGUUAAGUCAGUGGUAAAAUUGAGAGGCUCAACCUCUUCCGGCCAUUGAAACUGGCGGACUUGAGUGAGCGAGAAGUAUGCGGAAUGCGUGGUGUAGCGGUGAAAUGCAUAGAUAUCACGCAGAACUCCGAUUGCGAAGGCAGCAUACCGGCGCUCAACUGACGCUGAGGCACGAAAGCGUGGGGAUCAAACAGGAUUAGAUACCCUGGUAGUCCACGCAGUAAACGAUGAAUGCUAAUUGUUCGGCACGAUUGAGUGCUGAGCGAUACAGCGAAAGCGUUAAGCAUUCCACCUGGGGAGUACGCCGGCAACGGUGAAACUCAAAGGAAUUGACGGGGGCCCGCACAAGCGGAGGAACAUGUGGUUUAAUUCGAUGAUACGCGAGGAACCUUACCCGGGCUCAAACG